CUCUGCCUGCAAUGCAAAGAAAACGAAAUUACACAGAAGCACACAGAUCUCUCCAUCGCGAAGAACACUGCCUCCUGCGUUCUUCACCCUCUGCAAAAUAUCUCGUCCCCUUGCGCUCGCUCGGGAAGGCUAGGGUUUCAGGGUUCUCCUCAAUCGGAAUCAGUCUGGGACUCGCCCUUCAAAUUCGCCCGGAGACGGAGCCCUCCUCCCCCGGCCCAUCCACGGCGGCCACCAUUUCUGUCCCGUUCUUCUCAAUCGGCAUAUUUCCGCUGGUUGGUUCGUGUCCAGCAUUCUGGAUACCCAAUCCCAACUAGCACUCGAUGGAGGAUCUCCCGGAGGCACUGCUGGCAGAGAUCAUCAAGAGGGUUACCAAAAGAAGUGACUUGAAUUCUCUUUCCCUUGUCUCGAAGCGUCUCUUCGCCAUCCAGGCUGAGCAAAAAGGGUCCAUCCGGGUUGGUUGUGGCCUUUGCCUUGCCACUGAAGCUUUGGUGUCACUCUUCUCCCGGUUCCCCAAUUUGUGGAAAGUAGAGAUCGAUUACGCUGGCUGGACACCUUCCCACGGGGAUCAGUUGGACAACCAUGACUUCUUUGUGAUUAUAUCUUGCUGUCCCUCUCUAACCGAUCUCACACUAAGUUUCUGUUCACAAAUCGAUGACACCGGUCUUGGUUAUCUAUGCUACAGCGAGAAAUUGACUUCCCUCAGGCUGAACUCUGCAACUGAAAUAACUUCUAGUGGACUUCUCUCGGUCGCAGUUGGUUGCAAGAGUCUGUCUUCCCUCCACCUUAUAAACUGUGAGAAAGUAGGCAGUACCGAGUGGCUGGAGUAUCUAGGCUUGAAUGGAUCGUUGGAAGAACUUGUACUCAGGAAUUGCAAUGGAAUCAGCCUGUAUGACCUCAUAAUGCUCGGUCCAGGAUGGAUGAAGCUACGUAAGUUUGAAUUUCGAAUGGGAGGAUUAUGGGAUGUUCAUGAGGGAUAUGAUCAUAUGGAAAUCGAUGGUUAGUCAUGAAGCUGACAAUUGAUGUUUCAUGCUGCCAUGAUUGUUGUUUGGCUUGUGAGCAGUUAAUUUGGGGAAAAUUGCCAGGGAGAAGAAUGAGAUUUCGAGGGUCUUCUAGUUGAUUAUUUUUAGGGAAAACUUUGUUUUUGCCACUCUAGCUUUUGCCCACUUUGCUUAUGCCACUCUAGAAUUUGACAUUUCACUUUUGCCACUCUUAGCUUUCGACAAUACAUCACUUUUGCCAUUCUGUGGCAAAAGCAAAAUUCUCAAAGUGGCAAUUGUGAUACAUCGCAAAAGCUAAGAGUGGCAAAAGUGAAAUGAAAAAUUAUCAUUUUUGCCAUGGAAUGGCAUUUGUGAUGUAUUGUCAAAAGCUAAGAGUGGCAAAAGUGAGAUGUCAAAUUCUAGAGUGGCAUAAGCAAAGUGGGCAAAAACCAGAGUGGCAAAAACAAAGUUUUCCCUUUUUUUUAUUAAGAUGUCAUGCUGUAAUAUCUGUCACCAAGAGACUUAACACAACAAAUUAUUGGAGCUUUCAUCAAUUAAAACAUCAACAUCCUGGACCAUUACACUGGAAAACAGUACAGAAAUGCCGGCCAUGCAGCUUGCCGGUACUUUGUCCCUUGUUAAUUCAUGUUACUUUUCUGGAACAAAUGUAAGAUGGCAUGGUCUGUUGUUCUGCUAUGGUGGAAUUCAGGAUCCUAUAUCAGAAGAAUUUACUAGAGGACUGUUGAUCACUUGUUUCCACAGAUUAUUCCAGAUGCAGAAGUAAACUCAGAAGAGAAAGAUGACAGGAUGUUAGCAUCUUCAAAUGGUAUGGGGUGCACAGCCCUGAAAGUAUGGAAUUAGUAUACACUAGGUGGUUUUCGCAUGUUACUUGAAGGCUAUCAUCCUUUAUGGAGCAGUCUACUCUCGGAAGGUGCUCACGGUCUUCAUCAGCUAGUUGCCCAUGGGGUCAGUGGUGAAAUGUAGCUGAAGAAAUCUCUCUGUAUUCUGCAAUUGGAUGAAAUUUGGGCAGCCAUGUGGGUCUCAGAAGGCAAAACAAAAAGCUAUUGAGAUGAUGCUUGAUAAGUUAUUGCAAACUUUCACUGUGGUUUGCAGCUGUUAUGCAGUAUAGACAAUAUAAAAAUAUCCACUGGGGAAAAUAUAAUCUGCUUACUUAGUGUAAACUAAAUUAAUUGCUAAUUGCUCUAUUGCUGUACUAAUUCCUAGUUCAAAUUGGAUCUUCAUCCUGACAGGAAAUUUCAGAGUGUUUUUUUUAAACAAUGUUAGAGUGUUUUAUUGUAUUUGCCCAUCAUUUCUGUAUGUCAUAAUAAAUGAAGUUGCCCAAAUGAGAGGUUGAUUUUAUGAGAUCCAUUUUCUUCCUUGAUGGAUAAGAGAAGGAAUUCAAAUCCAUGAAUGAAGUACAUAAUUUGCCAGAUCCAUUUUUUCUAUCGAUGCAACUACAGAGGUCUUACAUUCUUGUACUCCUUAUGUGGCUCAUUAUUGCAUAUCUAUCUACUAAUUCACUAAGCUCCCUGGGUAGAAAGCCCCAGGAGCGAUUCGGCGGUGAAUUUGGCUGGUCGCGUCGAUUUUGACUUGGUCGUAGAGAGCUGGUCGUGUGUGGGCCUUUUGGGUCAACGUAUAGUAUGGGCUGGGCUUUCUUUGAGUUGGGAUGGGGGGGUUUCUCUUCUGGUUGGUGCUUUUCUGCGGCGUGGCGGCUGGGAGCGGGUCGCCGGGCACGUGUUGUUCGACCGUGGGAGCGGGGCUGUGUAUGGAAAGGAAAUCGGCUGCUGUUGGGAAGGGAUUUGCUUCGCCGUCGCUGGCUCUGGGGUUUGCUGCGGCUUCAGUGCCGGCGUGUCACACUGGUGUCCUCAUGUGUGUUUGUGGAGAGAAGGGACACGAUUUGGGGCGGUUGGUGUUCGUGUGAGAGGAGGCGAUUUGGUGCUAGCCUAUCAGCUCUUGGGCAUGGUUGCCUUCUGUGGCUGCACUUGGGGGAGGUCUAGGUCAGCCGCUGCUCCGGCCGGUGCGUGCUUGUUGGUUCGUCACGCCGGCUGGCAGGCCUGGAGCCAUGCUUGGAUUUGGAUGGACAUCGGAAUGUUGCAGUAUGCGAAUUGAAUAUCUGCAAGUGUCACAUUUGUAUGUUCAUGGUUCUACAGAUUAUGAUCUUAUAUAAUUAUUAGUGUUAGGUCUGCUUAUAUAUGAAAAAAUAUGUAUGUGUAAUAGACUGUAUAGACUCAGAUUAAUUUUAUUUGCUUUAUGUUGUAAUUGACAGUACAGACUCGGGCUGCUCUGAUUUGUAUGUUGGACUGUCAGAAUUGCUACAAAAUAACUAUCUAGCCUAGCGGUAACUUUUUGGGAAAUCCUCAUUACUCUGAAUGACAACCUUGUGUUUAGUUAAAGAAAAAUAUGAUACAUUUGAUCUUGUUGCUCCACCCAUCCGGGCCUGUGAUUGUCGUUUCAUCGUGAAGUGGUUCAGUGUAGAAAAUAAAUGUGAUUGCAAGUCCAGCAAGUGAUCUUAAACAUGCUCUCAUUCCUAACCCUCUCAUUCGAAGCAUGAUGGCACCACCUGAAAAAAAAAGAAACAUGGUAGCACAGAGAAUUGGUUUGCCCUACCACCACCAGAGAACCAAAAGGAAGAAACUUUGCGUCAUAGUAAUAAAUUGUCUGUAUUUAUUGACCCUAUUCUUUAUUCAUUAAAUUGUGUGGACAUGACAUGUAAA